UUAGAAGAUGAACUAUCUCUGGUACUUUCUUCUUGAAAUUUAUUAUCUUGUUCUUUUUUUAUGUGUUUAUAAAGAUUCAUUUUUUAGUCUGUGAAGUUUCUAAUUUAUUAAUUGUUUGAAGUGGUAGUCAGGUCUCUAUUCAAUCUAGAGAAGAAGAAGAUAAUGAGAAUUUGACUGGUAAAAACUAGUGUGUUGGCUGGAAAGAAAGGAGUUACUAACAAAGAAAAAGCUCAUUUGAUGAUUGAAAUGAAACAACAAAAAGGAGGUAUGUGUUUUAAACUUUUAGUUAUCUUAAAAAAUAUAAAAUUGUAUUUAAUGAUGUUCUAUGUAUAUUAACAUACUGAUAAAUAAUACAUCGUAUAUUUAAGCAAGAGAAAUUACAAAAAAUAGCUCUCAAGGCACAAGCUAUAGGGAUGAAGAAGGUGCAAAAAGAAAUUCAAAGUUAUGAAAAAGGAAAGUUUGCUCAACAAUUCAUCAUUCCAUUAUAGUAUAACAAGGCUCAAUUGGAGGUAAAGAUUGAAUUUCAGUUGAAAUCUUUCGAAUUCCAUUUCCAUCAUUCACGGAAUUCACCAUUCCUUUCAUGUUUUGAUGGAUUUCAAUUGUAUUCCUAUUUACUUAUCUUGUCUAACAUGUGAGUGAGUAUGUACUGUAUCUCUUAGUGUAGGACAAAUACUUACAAUGUUAGCUGAAAAAGGAAUUACAUUUCAAAUCACUUCAAAUGUUGUUGAAAAGUCAAUUAUUUGGUACAUGUCCAUUCCAGAAAAUAUCACACAGAUAAUUAAACUUUUUCUUUAAAUUUAUAUAUUUCUUCAGUAAAUAAAAAAUAUAUGAUUUGAAAGACUAAAAAAUUUAAUAUAUAUUUUGCAGGCGUUGUCUUGUAGUACUAAAAUCCCAUAGCGAAUUCUCUGUGUUGACCAAGGUUUGACUGCUCUUCAAUAAUGUAACUUUAUCUUUAAAUUAUUUUAUCUUUUUUAAUGAUUAUUUUAAUCAUACAGGAAGGGAUCAGGGGAAUAAUGUAAGGAAGAAGUCUCAUAGUCUUAAGACUCUAAUUAAGUAAAAUUGUAUUUGGAUUUACUUUAUUUAUUUUCUCUUAAGUAGUGCUUGGAAUGAUGGUUAGAUUCAUUCCAUUCCUUUGUCCAUUCCAUUCCGUCCAAGCAAUGGCCUGUGGAAAGACCUAGAGACAGUGAAGGUUUGUCUUUAACUUCCUUCCUAAUUAAAAAUGUUUACUGUUAAUUUUGGUGUGGAUGAUGGUCCUUAAGAGAUUACAAUUUCUAACAAGCAAUUUGCAAACACGAUAUUUUCUUUCACCAACAUGUAUUAUCAUUUACUUUUUGGUUGGAAUCGGAAUUCAAUUCCAUUCCGGUCCCAUAUUUGGUUUCAAAUGAGUAGACACUAAUCUCUUUUUCAUCAACAGAAAAGCAUUUCUUCCAACAAAGACAUUAAAUCUAGCAAAAAGCAGGAAGACAUCAUGCAACCCGGUCUUUUUCCAUUGCUAGAAAAACUAAAUGGAAAUUGGUUCUAUAUCCAUGGGAUUGAACGGGAAUCGGAAUCCAAUUCCAUUUUGAUCAUUCUUUUCGACGCAAGACAUCAAAGCAACGAAGAACAUGUGUGCGAAAAUGCAAAAUAUGAGAGGAAAUUUAGAAUUAUGGUACAUUAUACUUUAAAAUCAAAUAUCAAUCAACGUUGAACUUUGAUAUUUGAUGUUUAUGGAUGUUUUGAUAAACGUUGAUGGUUACAUUCUUUUGGGAUUUUAAUGUUAAAGAUUGGUUUGGGAAUGUAUAAUUAGUGGAUGUUUUUUGUAUUUAAAUGUUAAUAUUUGUUUUGAGUUAUGUAAUUAUUUGAUUUUUUGGUA
rnacentral:lncRNA from 1 species